AAAUAACGUGUCAGCCGGGCUUGAUGCAUCUUCACCACCGGAGCUUACCAAUGCUGUGCAAAAUGGUAAGGAACCUUCUAAUUUGUCUUACACUAGCACAGCUGAAGGAUCCCAUGAACAAAGUCCUCAGGAUAUUGAAACAAGUGAGAUUCCAGAAAUAAUUAUGUACGUAUACAGUCCAGAGGAGGCUGACACAGAGGUCACAGAGCCAGACUAUGCAGGCCAAAAAUGUUUUCCAGAGCAGAAAGCACCGGAAAAUAGUCUACCAUUUCACUUCCCAGGAGUUCAAGCAACUCAUAAAGUCAAGCCUCCAACGGAUGACCAACACUUAACUCUCCAACCACCAGUUGCUGGCAAAAGGCCACCAGAAGACCAACGUAAGGCAAAAUGUUCAGAGGUAGCCAAAGGAAGAGAGAAAAGUCAUAGUGAAGACAAAAUAUUCUCUGUUUUUAACAAAAAUGAUAGCAAUGUCCCAGCUAAAAAGGAACAGGAUAAUAAAACACCCAACUGCCCAACGCAAAAUGAAUCGAAAGGCAAGGAGCCACAUCCACACCAAACGCUCAGCCCACAAAUUAAGCUUGAUAAUUCCAAUACUGACAUACCAAAUUCAGAUGUAAAUCAGACAAAACACACACUUUCCUCAAAUGAGAGCCAGGAGGAGAAGCCUAGUGCUGCAGAAGAAGACCACAUCUCUUCUGACUGGAAAAACAAACAAAGCCCUUUGCCAAGUGACCUUGUGAAGCACAACUCUUACACUGCAGAAGAGGAUUUUGAGAAGGAUCGAUUAUAUUCACUGAAUGAAAUGGUGAAUCAUGCAAACAACCAAGCCCUGGGCAGGAGUACCUUUACUGACCUGGAGACUUGUCAAAAGCCAUUCAGCUAUUUCAUGGAGCAUGAAGAGGGUACUGCAGAUGAGAUGCCUUGGCCUGAUUCUAGGGCAUGCCAAGCAUCCUCAUCAAAUCCUUUAACAACACCCGUGAGUGGGAUUGCAGGGCAAAGAAUUCACUACACUUUCAGAAAUCCCCCAACCCUCCCACCUAUCGAUCUAGUGAACCAGGAGCCAGGAACCAGGAACCAGGAAACUGGUGGUGUGGAAGAUGAGCAUGCCAGCCACGACUGUGAGAAACAUCAACUACCCUCUUCAGGUGAAUCGACAG
rnacentral:lncRNA from 1 species